ACCACUGCACUAGAGACUGUUUUGUUAAAUGUGAGGUCUUAACAGUGACUGGAUAUAGGACCUGUAUUGUUCUGCACUGUUAUCUCAAUCUUGUUGGAACACCUUUUAAAAGAUUUAAAACCUACAAUAUCUAGUCUUGCUUCCUUUAACAUAUGAGGAAUCCAAUAACAAGGUGGGGCCUUGUUCAGCCAAUAUCCUGUCCAAAAGCUUCAUGGAGAUUGCGAGACGUCCUCUGGAAGAAGACAUGGAAGAAGACAUGUUUGGCACUUUGUUGAAAAGGGCAAGAAGGAGUACCUGGAAGUACGAAGUGGACAGCCUCACUUCAAUCUUCAGGUGAAUAGUAAACAUGAAAGACAUGCAGGUGACUGGAAACAGAAGGUGAGAAAAAAAAAUUUUUGGCCAUUUGGGCUCACAGAUUAGUGGUCAAUAGCUUGAAGCCAAACUAGCUGCCAGUUAUGAGUGUUAUGAGUUAUGAGUGUUAUGCCAGUUAUGAGUUUGAGGUUAAAACUGUCAUGGAAAGUAUUGAACAACUUUAUUAAAAACACAGUCAAUGGGAUGGAAUGGAUCAACAGCAAGUUUGAAGGACACCAAGUUUGGAGUAAAGUGAGCAGCUGAUACACUGGAGGGCAGGCCGGCCACUUAAGGGGAACUGGGUGGGCACUAAAAGUUGACCAGUAGGAACCUCGCAGAGUACCACAAGGACAAAUGAAAAGCUGAGGUAGAAUGAUCCCAUGCACUGCUACAUCCAGCCUAGCUGGCUACCCAAAAGCAUCGCUGAAAAGGCCUUGGGGCUGCUGCUACACGAUGUGAACAAGUUGAGUAGAGCUGUCGUCUUAAGUGCAAGUAUGUGUGUCUGGAAUAUUUUUAUUCAUUUUAGUAGCUAUUCUAGAUUACUUCAGCGAAGUUACUACAGAUUUGCACCAGUAUAACUGAGAUCAAAAGUGAGCUGCACUAUCCUUACAGUUAAAAGUCCUAUGAUUGAUUAGUGUAUUUUAAGACUCCUUCUACAUACCUGUAGCAGCUUUGUCAGUUCUCAACCAUCACACACAAACCACUGUGAACAUAAUUUCAGCAUUCAAUAAAUUAGUCCAAAGUGUUCAAAUACUUUAAGUCAUGGUAUAUUAAAAUUCCUAAUACAAAAAACAUUCUAAUUCCACAACUCUGCAGAAGGUUAUUGUGGAAACUGUGGUCUGUUUGCUCCACGGCAAAUCUGGACCCAAGAUUCUCAAAUGCUGAGGACACUAAAAAUGCAUUAUAUUCCAAAGUGCUCUGCUUCACUUAAACUUAGCUGGAAAUAAAACACUUUGGGAAAUCAUGCAUAAAAAGGACAAUGACAAAACAAAGGGGAGUUAUGACUGACCAGAACAAGCAGAACUGAUAAAACAAUUAUCAUAAGUACAAAUGCAAUUAACCUGAACUUCACCCCGCGCUGAUGUUGCUGUAUUGGUUAUUUUUUAAUUGCUUGGCUUUUAUUUAUAUCUUCAUCUGUGAGGAAAAGGAAAAAAGAAGGCUGAAUAGGAAAACAAAGAACAUAUCACUGUAAUAUUUUGUUAUAAAUGAGCAAUCAAGGAAAAAGAACUGAAGUCACAGCUUCGCAGCUCUGCUAAAGCCUACACUGCAAAAACGAAAAAAGCAUACCUCUAAGACACAGAGGGUGAAACUUUCCAGUUUUCCGUUACUAAGAUUAUUUUUAAAAAACCCCAAACCACUCAAAUUUAGAUGGCAACCCAGAUCUCUGUAGGUAUCAAAUUCAGUAUCAGUGCUAGUGGUCUGCCAUCUUAUAGACAAGGCUGUGUAUUUUGUACAUUCUCCUGUGCUUAGUUUUACUUUGAUUUCACUCACUAGUGGACUCUUUAUUUAGACUUCCUUGCACAGCUAAGAAAACUGUAAAUGUUUACCUUUUAUAGAAAUGUAGAUCUUUACAUCUCUGGUUUGCAUUUACAUUGUUUCAUUCAGAAGGGUGAACUGAGUGCUGACUUGUACUUAUCCUGUCCCCAGGCUAUUGUGACUUUAUGUUUUUCAUCCAUGUGUGAUUAAUCAUAUUAACAUUUUCCAAGAAGCAACUUUGAUCCCAUGUCAAAUAGACAAAUGAUAUAUUUACCAAAAAUACUGGUCCUGAAAAUGAAAUGCAUUUCCAUUUUGGGGGGAUAUGCAAUGAAUUCUGUCCCAUAAUAACCAAGAUUUACACACAGCUUAGAAAGCAAACAAGUUUCCACAAGCUUAACACAAUUAGUAAGACACAGAAUUGCAGUCUUUCUGAACUGAAGCAGUCUCAGAGGAAAAUAAAAGUAAAAAGACAGCUGAAAUUGCUACACAUUACAAUAUUUUCUGAGAUCAUCACAGCUUGGGCAGCUAUUAACAGAGGUCUGCCAGUGGUUGGCAUUAAAUAUGCUGUCUCCUCAGUCUUUAUGCCAAAUGUGAUUUGUAGUGAAGAAAGGGACCAGCUUCAACAAGCAAGACAAUGCUUGGUUUAAAGCACUUGUUAAAAAUCCCACUGAGAGACAUUAUCUUUCUUGAAUAUUUAAUCCCCUUGGAAGCUACCAUCUGCGUGUCACAAUACCCUAACAGAUAGAUGUGCAAAAACCAGUAUACUGAAACUUAUUUAAUGUUUCUUGCUUGUUUUAAUACAUUGUGGAAACUUAAAAUUAUAUACAACACAGGAGUAGAAUUCUGUGUAUCCCAGCUCAUAUUUUACUUACAUCUUGAAUAGUAUUUUAUAUUUGAUGAGGUAUUUGAGGUUUUUUUGUUCUUUUGGUGAUUUUGUUUGUUUUUUUCUGUUGUUGCUGUUUGGUUUUGUUCUGUUUUGUUUUGUUCUUUUGUUUUAUGUUUGGUUUUUUUUUGGUGCUGUAUCUGAAUAUACACUCAACUUUUCUUAGGCACUGAUAUGCAUCCUACUUUGUAUUGUGUUAUCCUGUGCCCUGUCACACUGGAGAAGCCUGCAGCUGUCUAAAGCCUAAUUAUGCAUGAAUGCAAACCCAAGAUGCUUGGCCAAUAGUGCCUCAGCAGAGUAUGGUUUCUCACUUGUUUUUGUUCAAAUUAUAAUUGUGUAGAAUUAUAUUUCCCAAACCAUUUUGCCCCUUGUGCAUGUUCUUCCUUUCUUCUGUUGCCUUUGUUUGAACCAGCUUCUGAACAAGCUUUUUUGAAUGUGAAGUGUCUAUUAGAUCUAAGAUAGGUCAUUAAUGGAUCUGACAAAUCCUUUCACCUUUAAGGCAGUUAAACAAGGUACAAAAAUGAGUCUCCUCCUCUAUCAGUUCUACUCCAGAUGGUUGGGGGGGGACAAGAGGGGCAUCUGGGUUGAAACAAAGCGGGCUUGGAGCCAGACCUCUAAAAGGGAGGGUAGUAUCAAGCAAUAAAGUGCUACACCUGCUGAGGGGAAGGUAAUAGAGGCACAGAAAGCACAUUUGUAGUCACAAUUACCCUCUAUAGAAAGGCUUUUGUUGAUCGUUGUCUAGCAGACAUAGGUGGUCAAUCUACAAAGUCAACAAAUAACAUUGUCGGGGGUGUUAAAAUAUAUGGCCCUAUCAUUUUACAUGAAUAGCACAAAUCAGUAACAGCAAUCUCACCUUUUUUUUUUCUGAGAGUCCUGCAUAUUUAUUCAAACUUGUUCUCAGCAGCUAAACAUCUUGGUUGCUGCUCUGCCUUUUGUUAGAUUUACAGUGUCAACUCCUGUACGUUGUAAAACACACUUCAAGUCAACAUCUGCAUGCACAUCCUUUAGAAAUGCUCAGCCAUAAACAUACAGAGACUCAAAGGAAACCUUGCAGCAGGUGGCUAUGUCCUUGAGCUGAUUGUCUUAAUUCUGGGAAAAUUAAUCCCAUUUGGGAUGUGGAAAACUGCUGUUAAUAGCAAUGUAACUUAGAAGAAGAUGCUUUUUCCAUGAAACAGUAUUUACCCCAGCACUACCUGAAGGAUGGCUGACAAGGACUGUGUUUAUUUCCACACCAUUGUCUUCAGAUUUAAAUGUUGAUGCAGAGAGGGUUUUUUUUAAAAUGUACAGAAGCUAGUGAGCUCUUCUCUACCAUGGACCCAGAAAAGUCAUCAGUGCCUUACUGGCAAGCAGAGCUCCUUUAUACCCCAUUCCGUUUUCCACUGAAGACAGUGGACGAUGUUCAAAACAGUUGAAGCAAUGCACAUCUCUGUGUCCCUGUUUCCUCGGUUCUCGGAAAGAGUUUUAUGUGGUAGAGAGCUGUUACAGCACUCUCUGUGCUGCUGCCUGCCUGCCCCUCUUUCCCCUCAGACACAAGCUCUGUCUGGGAGAAGGGCAGGGGCUGUGCUAUGCUGCUGGUCCCGGCCACUUGCCCAGUUGCUCCCUUCUGGUAAAGAAAAGAGUCAUCGUGAGCUUGCACCCAGGUGCUGCUUAAGAGUGGUAGCCUUCAUUAAAGAUUCAGCACAUGGGAAAUUUGAAUUGCUACAAAUAAAUGACCACUGUGCCAAAUGGCUCAGCAUUUUGACACUUGAUUCUCUGUGGAUUUAGCUCUGGUUUGACAUUGUUUUAAUAUGAGUUUAACACUGACCUGAAUGUGAGGAGGAUUGGGUUUUUCUUUUAUGUCUCUUUCCUAGAUUCUAGCACAUCAUGUCAAACAGGCUUCUGGCAAGGGCUUCUUACACCUGCAGGUGUUUCUAAUAUGUAUUUUAAUAGAGUAUAAAGGACGCCACUUUUUGUUUGUAAUGUAUUAUUCCCUGCUGGCCCUGACACAUAGCAUUCAGCAUAUGUCUUACAAGGGACUGCAGGGUAACAAAGAAAAAUAAUAUCCACAAUAGAUAAGGGCUGUUGUCCCCAAUGGAUCAUGGGAAAAUGAUUGGGUGUGUAGAGGGUAAUUCCUCACCCUCUUGAAAUUUGAGGCCCAGAAAGAUGAAGCUUUUGUGUGCCUGUUUUAAAAAGACUGAAAUCCAUUUACACAUCAAUGUCAGCUCCUGCUAAAGAAAGCCAACAUUGUUUAUGUUAUGCUUGUCAAAUCCAAACAAUUUGUUUUUAAGGGAAGACAAGUACAAAGCUUCUUGUCCACUAAACAGAGCACAUUAAAUAUGACCUUUUCUCUAGGCGCAUGUACACUGGCACAAGAAAGCACAGGAGAUAUAUAAUUAAUAUUAGCUAACACACAGUAAGGUUAAUUGUUGCUUCUCUGAACACUUAAUCUGCAAGCAGUUGAUAAAUCCCACAAUGAAUAAAAGCGGCUUGUAUUUAGGUCACACAAAGUCAUUGCUGUUUUUAAUUUAAACUGUGCACUAGAUUAAAACACAAGAGUAUUGCAGGAGGACAAUUCAGAAGCAGUAGCAAUAGGCUGCCAUUUGGCGUAAAAAGUUUCCCCAGCACACCCUAGGGACAUGUUAAUCAAAGCUUUUUAAUGGAUUCAGUCUGAUCUGUGACAGGCUUUGUUCCAGAGAUGGCAUUUGCAGGAUAGAGCUGCAAGGUAUCAAUAAGACACAGUAAUUGCUGGAGUGAUUGAGCCUUGUUCUUUAGGCUUCAUACCAUUCACUCCUUUUUAUUAUCAGUCAAGGCCAGAGAUGUCUUGCAAUAGGCAGUCAAGUGAUUGCUUGUUUCUUUCUUUAAUCCUAAGCGAUAUAAUGAAAGAAAAUGAAGCAACAUGAAAAUUUGCAUUAAUUAAAAAAAUGUGUAAAACUCAUUCUUGUUUUUCCCCUGCUAUGUUUUAUAUUAUUUUUGCUAGGAUUUAAUGGUAAUUCUUCAACCUCUAUCGUGUACUGAUAAAUCCUUUUUAAGCAGUCAAAGCCUUUCACUGUUUGGUUAAAGGCUUCAGUUCAUCCAUUGACAGUUCUUUAUUAAGCUAUUCAUUAUCUUUUUGAAAUCAAAGCAUUGGCAAAAUCAGUAAUGACUAGGGAUAACACUUAUCACCUACAUGGAUAGUUAGCCUAACAUCCACUUAGGAAAGAUAACUCCCAACACUGAAAUAAAAAUUCUUCAGUGCUAUUCAAGAAGGUAAUAGAAACCUAACAUUUUUAUAUAGUGAAAGGUCAUAAUCCUCCCUUUGUAGCACCGCAGCCAUUCCCAUAGCAACAGAUUAUACCUAAAACCACUAGGGAUUAUGACCUCUCAGUAUGAGCAAACAGAAGGAAAAGUUGUUUAGAAGAGAAGGAAUGUCUUUGAUUAGUAAAAGGCAAAACCAGCCAACCUCCUGUGUGUGCACACAUAAGACAGAAUGUACACAGCAGCUAAAUUGAUUUUUGUUUAUUGUAAGAAUGGACAAUGAAAAUAUUGUUAAAAUCAGUUUUGUUGGUUUCAAUCAGGGUUUGUUUUGUGCAGCAACAGAAUAAACUAUAAUAUAUUUGGCUUACUCUAUUUUUUUUUUGGAUUUAUGUUUAUUGGAAAUCAAGUUAAUGUUGAAUUAUUCUGGUAACCUUAUUCUUGAAAAGCUUUGGCUGUGUUAACAGGUGAAAGCUACCACCUGAAGAAAAACAGAGGUGGAGGAGUAAAGAUCAGUCCUUCAUUCUUGUUUUUACUACCCAGUAAAUAAUCAAUCAGUGUAAUAAUUACAGGUGAUCAGAAUAUGUAGUUUUGAGGUUGUGUGAUGAAAAGAACGCUUU